rfam:Halanaerobium praevalens DSM 2228, complete genome.
UAAAUCUUUAAAUUAGUCCAGAGAGGCUAGUAAGGGAAAAUAUAAAUUUAGCAACCUUCUUACUAUGCCGUAAGAAGGUUAUUUUUUU